CAGGGGGAGGAGAAAARGGCUUAGCCACUCACCUUUGUCUUUGGAAGGCUUAGAUCUGCACCAGGAAGAGGCCAGCCCAGACCUAAAGUGUGGGCACAGGACAGAGGUUCCUGGACACCACCCCCCUCCCCCGUGCCCUGAAGAGAUCUUCAGAGCAGCUGGGCUGGAAGUGUCUCUCCUUGAACAGCAGAGUAGGAUGGGUAGCCCGGUGCACCGCGUGUCCUUGGGGGACAAGUGGAGCAGGCAAGAGCACCCUGACAUAAAAAGUGAGAGGCGUGUGCCGUCCUUCAACGUGGAACGACUCACCAACAUUCUUGACAGAGGUGCCCAGAACACUGCAAUCCGGAGGAAAGUCGAAAGCAUCAUCCACAAUGACCCAGUGUUUAGCCUUAAGAACAAUCAUUUCAUGACCCAGAAUGAGCAUUAUGAGACUGCCCUGCGGAAGAGAUACCACAUACAGAUGAUAGCACAGCGCCUGGGCUGGCUGGCAGAUGGUUGCGAAUUGGCCUAUGCUUUCAGGGCCCUUUCUGGAGACGUGGCCUUAACUUUAAAUGGUGUCUUCAUGAAUGCGCUCAGGAGCCUUGGCUCAGAGGAACAGAUUGCUAAAUGGCUACCACUCUGUGAAAACUUCCAGAUCAUCACAACGUAUGCCCAGACAGAGCUGGGACACGGGUCAUAUCUUCAAGGCCUGGAGACUGAAGCCACCUAUGACGCAGCCACCCAGGAGUUUGUGAUACACAGCCCCACCAUGACUGCCGCCAAGUGGUGGCCUGGGGACAUGGGCCGGUCGGCCACCCAUGCCCUGGUCUUGGCCCAGCUGAUCUGCUCAGGAGCCAGGCAGGGAAUGCACGCUUUUAUCGUGCCCAUCCGGAGCCUCCAGGACCACACCCCACUGCCAGGAAUCACUGUUGGGGAUAUUGGGCCCAAGAUGGACUUGGAAAAUGUAGACAAUGGCUUCCUGCUUCUAGACCACGUGCGGGUCCCCAGGGAGAACAUGCUGAGUCGCUUUGCACAGGUCUUGCCAGAUGGCACCUACAUCAAGUUUGGGACGGCACAGAGCAACUAUCUUGGCAUGGUGGUGACGCGAGUGCGCUUGCUGUUGACUUCCAUCCUACCCUUACUGCAGAAGGCUUGUGUCAUCGCUGUGCGCUACUCAGUCGUCCGCCGCCAAUCCCGGCUCCGGCCCAGUGACCCAGAGGCAAAAAUUCUGGACUACCAGACACAGCAGCAGAAACUCCUUCCUCAGCUGGCCACGAGUUACGCCUUCCACUUCACAGCGGUCAGCCUCUUGGAAUUCUUCCACCGCUCCUAUGAUGAGAUUCUGCGCAAAGAUUUCAGCCUCCUUCCUGAGCUCCACGCACUGAGCACAGGCAUGAAGGCCAUGAUGUCUGAAUUGUGUACCCAGGGGGCCGAGCUGUGUCGCAGGGCCUGCGGGGGACACGGCUACUCAAAGCUGAGUGGUUUGCCAUCAUUGGUCACCCAAGUGACAGCCUCCUGUACCUAUGAGGGUGAGAAUACAGUGCUCUACCUGCAAGUGGCCAGGUUUCUGGUAAAGAGCUACCUGCAAGCCAAGGUGUCCCCAGACUCUGCACCACAGAAGCCUCUACCUCAGUCUGUCGAAUAUCUUGCCAGGCCUGUCCUGGCCCGGUGCCCAGCCCAGAAGGCAGCCGACUUCCUCUGCCCAGAGUUAUACACUGCAGCCUGGGCACACGCAGCCGCCAGGCUCAUAGAGGACUCGGUGCAUCAUCUACAGACCCUCACGCAAUCUGGGGCUGACCAGCAGGAGGCUUGGAACCAGACUUCUGUCAUGCACCUCCAGGCUGCUAAGGCACACUGCUACUAUAUCACUGUGAAGAGUUUCACGGACGCUCUGGAGAAACUAGACAAGGAACCAGCAAUUCAGCAAGUGCUCCAACGCCUCUGUGACCUCUUUGCUUUACACGGUAUCUUGACAAACUCGGGAGACUUUCUCCACGAUGGCUUUCUGUCUGGGGCCCAAGUAGACAUGGCAAGAAAAGCUUACCUGGACCUGUUCCUCCUGAUCAGGAAGGAUGCUAUCUUGUUAACUGAUGCAUUUGACUUCACCGACCAGUGUUUGAAUUCAGCACUUGGCUGUUAUGAUGGAAAUGUCUAUGGACGUCUGUUCCAGUGGGCUCGGGAGUCACCAAGCAAUGCUCAGGAAAUGCUGACACGCAGAGCUCAGUCCAGUUUUACUGAAAACACAGGAAACAUUCCAGUUCUCCAGAUUUCUCAUGGUCACUGAAGAAUGGUGGGGGCGUUCUUGUUUUUCACCUUUAAAGACUUCAAUCUGGAUACCACAUGAGAGCAGCCUUUUCUAAAUGAGGAGAACCCUGCCUAUGAAAAAUACAUCCGACCACUAUUACAAAGUUGGAGAUCCAAGCUAUGAAAUAACCAACAGUAA